rnacentral:rRNA from 1 species
UACAGAGGUGGCAAGCGUUGUUCGGAAUUACUGGGCGUAAAGGGCGCGUAGGCGGCCUUCUAAGUCAGACGUGAAAUCCCCCGGCUUAACCUGGGAACUGCGUCUGAUACUGGGAGGCUUGAGUAUGGGAGAGGGAUGUAGGAUUCCAGGUGUAGCGGUGAAAUGCGUAGAUAUCUGGAGGAAUACCGGUGGCGAAGGCGGCAUCCUGGACCAUAACUGACGCUGAGGCGCGAAAGCUAGGGGAGCAAACGGG